CUUUCAUUCAUGAACUUCAAAUACACAAACAGAACUCGUAAUAGUGUACUUUGCAAAAACCUCUGAAAAAGUUUCAAAUCGUCACUAACUUUACAAAUUAAAUCAUUUUGGCUUCACUGGAAACACGUUUAAUUGAAUCUCUGUAUUUAUCUACGACCGUACUCAGAAAAUUGUUCUGGAGGGAAAAUCAUUAAGCACAGUCC
rnacentral:lncRNA from 1 species